rnacentral:rRNA from 1 species
UACGGGGGGUGCGAGCGUUGUCCGGAAUCACUGGGCGUAAAGGGCGCGUAGGUGGCUUUGUAAGUUUGCGGUGAAAGCCCGGGGCUCAACCCCGGGUCUGCCGUGGAUACUGCAAGGCUUGAGUACUGUAGAGGCAGGUAGAAUAUCGGGUGUAGCGGUGGAAUGCGUAGAUAUCGGAAGGAACACCUGUGGCGAAAGCGGCUCACUGGACCAUUACUGACGCUGAGGCACGAAAGCUAGGGGAGCAAACAGG